UUUGCUUGAUCCUUGAGUGUGAUUGUUGCAUUCAUGCAUUCAUGCACCCAUUUUGCAUCCAUAAUAAGAAAAGUUUCAAGGAACUUAAGAGGUCUAUUUGCAAAUUUUCAGACAUGGAAAGACAAAGAAGGAAUACGAAGAAGUACAGUUUUAGACAACCCGACUUGAAAGAGCUAAGGAAUUUGACAUCCUAUGUAUUAGAUCCCUUGGGUUUCAAGGCUCGUUUUGG
rnacentral:lncRNA from 1 species